AUUGAACGCUGGCGGCAGGCCUAACACAUGCAAGUCGAGCGAGCGGCGGACGGGUGAGUAAUGUCUGGGAAACUGCCUGAUGGGGGGGGAUAACUCUUGGAAACGGUAGCUAAUACCCCAUACCAUCAGAUGUGUCCAGAUGGGAUGAGCUAGUAGGUGGGGUAACGGCUCACCUAGGCGACGAUCCCUAGCUGGUCUGAGAGGAUGACCAGCCACACUGGAACUGAGACACGGUCCAGACUCCUACGGGAGGCAGCAGUGGGGAAUAUUGCACAAUGGGCGCAAGCCUGAUGCAGCCAUGCCGCGUGUAUGAAGAAGGCCUUCGGGUUGUAAAGCACUUUCAGCGAGGAGGCGUUACGCGCAGAAGAAGCACCGGCUAACUCCGUGCCAGCCGCCGCGGUAAUUC
rnacentral:rRNA from 1 species